rnacentral:rRNA from 1 species
GUCUACAGCCAUACCACCCUGAACACGCCCGAUCUCGUCUGAUCUCGGAAGCUAAGCAGGGUCGGGCCUGGUUAGUACUUGGAUGGGAGAAAUAAUAGCCUGUAUUUGUGACCUUGGGAAAAGUACUGUAACUU